rnacentral:rRNA from 1 species
GUGCCAGCCGCCGCGGUAAUACGAAGGGUGCAAGCGUUAAUCGGACUUACUGGGCGUAAAGGGUGCGUAGGUGGUCUGUUAAGUCGGAUGUGAAAUCCCCGGGCUCAACCUGGGAAUGGCAUCCGAUACUGGCGGACUUGGAGUCUUGGAGAGGGUGGUGGAAUUCCUGGUGUAGCGGUGAAAUGCGUAGAGAUCAGGAGGAACACUAGUGGCGAAGGCGGCCACCUGGCCAAAGACUGACGCUGAGGCACGAAAGCGUGGGGAGCAAACAGGAUUAGAAACCCCAGUAGUCC